rnacentral:rRNA from 1 species
GAUGAACGCUGGCGGCGUGCCUAAUACAUGCAAGUCGAGCGAACAGAUGAGGAGCUUGCUCCUCUGACGUUAGCGGCGGACGGGUGAGUAACACGUGGAUAACCUACCUAUAAGACUGGGAUAACUUCGGGAAACCGGAGCUAAUACCGGAUAAUAUAUUGAACCGCAUGGUUCAAUAGUGAAAGACGGUUUUGCUGUCACUUAUAGAUGGAUCCGCGCUGCAUUAGCUAGUUGGUAAGGUAACGGCUUACCAAGGCAACGAUGCGUAGCCGACCUGAGAGGGUGAUCGGACACACUGGAACUGAGACACGGUCCAGACUCCUACGGGAGGCAGCAGUAGGGAAUCUUCCGCAAUGGGCGAAAGCCUGACGGAGCAACGCCGCGUGAGUGAUGAAGGUCUUCGGAUCGUAAAACUCUGUUAUUAGGGAAGAACAAAUGUGUAAGUAACUAUGCACGUCUUGACGGUACCUAAUCAGAAAGCCACGGCUAACUACGUG